GCGAAGCAAUCGGAAGUGGUUCCAAGAAAAGCCUCUAAGCUUCAGUCAUACGAGACCGUACCGCAAACCGACACAGGUGGGCGAGAUGAGUAUUCUAAGGCGCUUGAGAGAACUCGGGAGAAGGAACUCGGCAAAUUGGUACCGUAACUUCGGGAAAAGGUACGCCCCGGUAGCUUGACCACUUUACUGUGGAAGGGUGAAAGGGUUGCAAUAAACUGGUGGCUGCGACUGUUUAAUAAAAACACAGCACUCUGCAAACACGAAAGUGGACGUAUAGGGUGUGACGCCUGCCCGGUGCUGGAAGAUUAAAUGAUGGGGUGCAAGCUCUUGAUUGAAGUCCCAGUAAACGGCGGCCGUAACUAUAACGGUCCUAAGGUAGCGAAAUUCCUUGUCGGGUAAGUUCCGACCUGCACGAAUGGCGUAACGAUGGCCACACUGUCUCCUCCCGAGACUCAGCGAAGUUGAAAUGUUUGUGAUGAUGCAAUCUACCCGCGGCUAGACGGAAAGACCCCAUGAACCUUUACUGUAGCUUUGCAUUGGACUUUGAACCAAUCUGUGUAGGAUAGGUGGGAGGCUUUGAAGCGGGGACGCCAGUUCUCGUGGAGCCAUCCUUGAAAUACCACCCUGGUUUGUUUGAGGUUCUAACCUUGGUCCGUUAUCCGGAUCGGGGACAGUGCAUGGUAGGCAGUUUGACUGGGGCGGUCUCCUCCUAAAGUGUAACGGAGGAGUUCGAAGGUACGCUAGGUACGGUCGGACAUCGUGCUAAUAGUGCAAUGGCAUAAGCGUGCUUAACUGCGAGACCGACAAGUCGAGCAGGUACGAAAGUAGGACAUAGUGAUCCGGUGGUUCUGUAUGGAAGGGCCAUCGCUCAACGGAUAAAAGGUACUCUGGGGAUAACAGGCUGAUUCCUCCCAAGAGUUCAUAUCGACGGGGGAGUUUGGCACCUCGAUGUCGGCUCAUCACAUCCUGGGGCUGUAGCCGGUCCCAAGGGUAUGGCUGUUCGCCAUUUAAAGUGGUACGUGAGCUGGGUUUAAAACGUCGUGAGACAGUUUGGUCCCUAUCUGCCGUGGGCGUUGGAAAUUUGAAGGGGGCUGCUCCUAGUACGAGAGGACCGGAGUGGACGAACCUCUGGUGUACCGGUUGUCACGCCAGUGGCAUUGCCGGGUAGCUAAGUUCGGAAGAGAUAACCGCUGAAAGCAUCUAAGCGGGAAACUUGCCUUGAGAUGAGAUUUCCCGGAGCCUUGAGCUCCUUGAAGGGUCGUUCGAGACCAGGACGUUGAUAGGCUGGGUGUGGAAGUGCAGUAAUGCAUUAAGCUAACCAGUACUAAUUGCCCGUACGGCUUGUCCCU
rnacentral:rRNA from 2 species